GUUGAAGAUAGAGGCGCAGUGACUAAGAGUACUUCUAAGGAGUUAAGUGUAAACUAUGACUUAGAAUGAAAGGAGUUAUUGCCGAAGCUUUAAAAAUUGCACUAAUUUUUAGGGUUGGAUCUAUAAUUAAUAGUUAUAGAACUGUCACUGAAUGAGUGAAGUGCUAUCUUAUAU
rnacentral:ncRNA from 1 species